rnacentral:rRNA from 1 species
AGCCCUAAGUGGGUGGUAAACUCCAUCUAAGGCUAAAUAUGACCACGAGACCGAUAGCGAACAAGUACCGUGAGGGAAAGUUGAAAAGCACUUUGAAGAGAGAGUUCAAGAGUACGUGAAACCGUUUAGGGGUAAACCUGAGAAACCCGAAAGGUCGAAGGGAGAAAUUCAUUCGCGUCUCGUCUUAGGCGUGAGGCGGUCGUGCGACGGAGAGCGGGUUCGCCCGCGAUCCGCGCCUUCCGCUUUUCGGUCCUUCGACGAACGCGUGCACUUUUCUCCCGGUAGGACGUCGCGAUCCGUUGGGCGUCGGUCUACGGCUGGCGGUGGAGCCCGUUCGGCGCGUUUCGGCGCGUCCGAGCGGACCCGUCACGACCCGGCCGACACGCUCGACGGUAUCGAUAAGGCCGAAGGCCGCUCACACACGAGCGUUCGACCCGCGGCAAGCGCGUCGGUAGCGUAGCUGGCGAUCGGACCUAGUGCCGAUCCUGGCCUCCGACGACUGUUGGUCGCGGACGUUUCGAACAGACCUUCUGCGGCCGAUCCGCGACGCUAUAGCUUUGGGUACUUUCAG